rnacentral:rRNA from 1 species
CUUUCUUUGCUGGCGACCGGCGCACGGGUGAGUAACACGUAUCCAACCUGCCCUUUACUCGGGGAUAGCCUUUCGAAAGAAAGAUUAAUACCGAUGGGAUAAUUAUUCCGCAUGGUUUGAUUAUUAAAGGAUUCCGGUAAAGGAUGGGGAUGCGUUCCAUUAGGUUGUUGGUGAGGUAACGGCUCACCAAGCCUUCGAUGGAUAGGGGUUCUGAGAGGAAGGUCCCCCACAUUGGAACUGAGACACGGUCCAA